GCGCUAGUAGCUCAACUGGAUAGAGUGUCAGACUACGAAUCUGGAGGUUGCGAGUUCGAUUCUUGCCUAGCGCG
rnacentral:tRNA from 1 species